rnacentral:rRNA from 1 species
CCCUGCCAUUUGUACACACCGCCCGUCGCUACUACCGAUUGAAUGUCUUAGUGAGGCUCCUGGAUUGCGGAAGUUGCCGUGAGGCUGACGGCCGCAAAAAGGGAUUCAAACUUGAACAUUUAGAGGAAGUAAAA